rnacentral:rRNA from 1 species
AGUGAACGCUGGCGGUAGGCCUAACACAUGCAAGUCGAACGGCAGCACAGAGGAGCUUGCUCCUUGGGUGGCGAGUGGCGGACGGGUGAGGAAUACAUCGGAAUCUACUCUGUCGUGGGGGAUAACGUAGGGAAACUUACGCUAAUACCGCAUACGACCUACGGGUGAAAGCAGGGGACCUUCGGGCCUUGCGCGAUUGAAUGAGCCGAUGUCGGAUUAGCUAGUUGGCGGGGUAAAGGCCCACCAAGGCGACGAUCCGUAG